UACGGGGGGGGGCAAGCGUUGUUCGGAAUUACUGGGCGUAAAGGGCUCGUAGGUUGCCAACUAAGUCAGACGUGAAAUCCCCUCGGCUUAACCGGGGAACUGCGUCUGAUACUGGAUGGCUUGAAUCCGGGAGAGGGAUGCGGAAUUCCAGGUGUAGCGGUGAAAUGCGUAGAUAUCUGGAGGAACACCGGUGGCGAAGGCGGCAUCCUGGACCGACACUGACGCUGAGGAGCGAAAAGCCAGGGGAGCAAACGGG
rnacentral:rRNA from 1 species